rnacentral:misc_RNA from 1 species
AAAGUAUUUUUACAAUACAUCAACACAUGUGAACCGUAUGGGAGCUUACCCUCUCAUUUUAUUAUUAUUUUAAACUGAAUUUUAUAGUAUAUAACAUCAU